GUGUACAAUUGAGGUUUUCGUAGUUGCUCACGGGUAGUACGACAUAAGAUUAUAGUUGCUGAAGGUUGAAAAUUAAUUUUGGUGUUCAGAUUUGCCGGGUGAAGAUUCGUUGGGUUGUCGCGAAAUUGCUGAGGACGGUCCGGUUGGCUCGUUGUAGCUAUUUGCCGGGUGAAGAUUCGUUGGGUUGUCGCGAAAUUGCUGAGGACGGUCUGGUUGGCUCGUUGUAGCUAUUUUCAGGCAACUGAGUAGCAGACUGUUGUCAGAUUCAGAUCAUUCGACUUAUUUCCUUGGGCCGGUUGUCACAUUGGUGUCUUUUAUUUAAUCUUGGUUAUAUGCAGCUAUAGGGAGUCCUAGGUGGAUUUAGAUUUGGGAUUGUGACUUUUUAUUUUAUUUUAAGAGUUGGCACUUGAGUGCUCGAGUUGAUUUUAUAUUUUACCUGAAAUACUGGUUAUGGGAGAGCUUAUUGGCAGAUUUUAUCAUUUUGUAACUAUUGAAAUUACAAAUGAGAUUCUGGUGUUUUUAUAAAUUAAGUGUACAAGGUUAUGUUGAA